rnacentral:piRNA from 1 species
UGGAAUCUUUUGCGGCAAAGCUUUAUUGCU